GGGGGUGUAAUGGUUUCGACGUGCCUUGGAUUAUAUUAUCAUCAGUGGUUUGGCAGACCUUAAUGCUUCUAGGCUUUAGAAUCGCAAACGAAGAAAAAGCAAACGAAGUUAAUGAACUUCCUGCAUUUGCAAUGGCAAAUGCUUACCAAUCAAAUCUUGCUUUUGCUUAAGAAUUAGCAGCAAGUGUUUUAAUAAUUUUGCCUCAAAUUAUUAAAAUGGUUUAGAGGUAAAAGUAAAUAUGUUUUAAAGCUUGUCGAUUUACUUUUUAUUAAAAGCUUUAUAUAAAUUAAUUUUUUGAAUUUUUUAGUUAAUUUGUAUUAAUAGAAAAAAUCUAAACUGUAAAAAGUGAUAGUAUAAGUUCAUUGUGCGGACACGGGUUCGACUCCCGUCACUUCCACCA
rnacentral:tmRNA from 1 species